rnacentral:rRNA from 1 species
CGGGACGGGGUGGAGUAAUGUCUGGGAAACUGCCUGAUGGAGGGGGGUAACUACUGGAAACGGUAGCUAAUACCGCAUAACGUCGCAAGACCAAAGAGGGGGACCUUCGGGCCUCUUGCCAUCGGAUGUGCCCAGAUGGGAUUAGCUAGUAGGUGGGGUAACGGCUCACCUAGGCGACGAUCCCUAGCUGGUCUGAGAGGAUGGCCAGCCACACUGGAACUGAGACACGGCCCAG